rnacentral:rRNA from 1 species
CGCGGGGAAACAAAAAACCCCCAUGUGGACCGGGAGCACACUACUCCUACAACCCAGAGUUACAACUCCAAGCAACAGAAUUUCUGACCAAUAAGAUCCGGCACCUAGCCGAUCAACGGACCGAGUUACCCUAGGGAUAACAGCGCAAUCCUCUUUUAGAGCCCAUAUCGACAAGAGGGUUUACGACCUCGAUGUUGGAUCAGGACAUCCUAAUGGUGCAGCCGCUAUUAAG